ACCUGGCUGGCUCAGUCAGAAGAGCGUGUGACUCUUGAUCUUGGAGUCAUGGGUUCGAGUCCCACAUCGGGUA
rnacentral:tRNA from 1 species